rnacentral:rRNA from 1 species
UACGAAAGGGGCAAGCGUUGUUCGGAAUUAUUGGGCGUAAAGGGGGUCUAGGCGGACCGUUAAGUUACUUGUAAAAGCACGGAGCUCAACUCCGUGAAGCAGGUGAUACUGGCGGACUAGAGUACGUGAGAUGUGAACGGAAUAAUAGGUGUAGCGGUAAAAUGCGUAGAUAUCUAUUAGAACACCGGAGGCGAAGGCGGUUCACAUGCGCGCAACUGACGCUGAAGCCCGAAAGCGUGGGGAGCAAACA